UUAGAGAAUCUCAGUCGUCACCGUCUCGCCGGCGCUCUCAAUUUUUAACCUCCUCUUGUCGCACUGGCCCAGCCAUGAUUUGCCUCAAAGCCCUCUCAUCCCCUCUCCACCUCCCGACGCUCCGCCGCCUCAACCCCUCCUCCUCCGCCCUCCGCGUCGCCGCCAUGUCCUCCGCCGCCGCGUCCCCCGCCAUCGCGGACCCGAUCGAGCACAUCGUGCUCAUCAAGGUCCGUCCGGAGGCCGCGGCCUCGGGCGCCGACGCGGCGAUGGUCUCCUCGCUGCAGGCGCUCUCCACGCUAGUCCCUGGCCUGGCCUACAUCCACGCGGGCCCCGUGCUGCGGCUCCGCUCCCCCGCCGCGGAGGCGCUGGGCCCGACCCACCUCCUCCACUCCCGCUACGCCACCAAGCAGGACCUUGCGUCCUACGCGGUGCACCCAGCCCACGUCGCCGCCGUGCAGGGGCACGUGCUGCCCAGCGCGCUCGACGCCACCGCCGUCGACUGGGUCAACGCGGCGCCGCUCCCGUCCCCCGUGUCCCCCGGCGCCGCCGUGCGGCUCACGCUCGCCAAGGUCAAGGAAGGGGUGGAGGUCGGGAAGCUCGUGGAGGAGGUGGGCACGGCGACGAAGGCGGCAGGGGAGGCCAGGGGCGCCAAGGUGAGCUUCGGGGAGAACUUCUCCCCCGCGCGGGCCAAGGGGUACCAAUUCGGGAUGGUGGCGGUGUUCAACAGCGUGGAGGAGCUGGACGCGGUGGAGGGGGACGGGAAGGUCGAGGAGGCCAAGGCAGCGGUCAGGCCGCUGCUCGACGAGGUGAUGGUGCUGGACUUCGUUGUCGGGCCUCCUGCGUAGGCUCAGGCGCCGGCGAGCCUCUGAGAAGCUUCAGUGAUCGUUGAACCGGAGAGUAGUGGGUUAUCGUGAGGAUGUUUUGUGGUUGAUCUUGAUUAGAAGAAGAGCAGCAAGGUUGGCAGGCGAGGAAAUGUUAGCUUCUGGCUACUUCAUGUCUAUCGGUGGUGGUGGCGGGCAAGAGUAGUGUCGUCUACUCGUGUGGCGAGGUUUGGGUAGAGCCUAAGGGUAUAUGGCUCCACCGAUCUCUUUGUUAUUGUUAAGUUUUAAUUCUUCCGCAGCGUAGUUUUAUCUAUUUUGAUGUAAAUUGUUAUAAAUGGUUGGAUGCUUUUUAUUAAGUUUGAU